rnacentral:rRNA from 1 species
AGGGUCCGGCUGUUCGCCGGUUAAAGCGGCACGCGAGCUGGGUUCAGAACGUCGCGAGACAGUUCGGUCCUCUAUCCUCUGUGGGCGAAGGAGACUUGAGGGGUUCAAUUCCUAGUACGAGAGGACCGGAAUUGACGCACCGCUGGUGUUCCAGUUGUUUCGUCAGAAGCAUUGCUGGGCAGCUAAGUGCGGAAGAGAUAAGCGCUGAAAGCAUCUAAGCGCCAAGCUCCUCCCGAGAUGAAGUCUCCCUGAAGGAUCGUGGAAGACUACCACGUCGAUAGGCUGUGGGUAUAAGCGCGGUAACGUGUUCAGCUCAACAGUACUAAUCAUCCGUUAGUCUUGUAUUG